GGGCACGUAGCUCAGCGGUAGAGCGUCAUCUUGACGUGGUGAAGGUCGUUGGUUCGACACCAACCGUGCCCA
rnacentral:tRNA from 1 species